rnacentral:rRNA from 1 species
AGUGAACGCUGGCGGUAGGCCUAACACAUGCAAGUCGAACGGCAGCACAGUAAGAGCUUGCUCUUACGGGUGGCGAGUGGCGGACGGGUGAGGAAUACAUCGGAAUCUACUUUUUCGUGGGGGAUAACGUAGGGAAACUUACGCUAAUACCGCAUACGACCUACGGGUGAAAGCAGGGGAUCUUCGGACCUUGCGCGAUUGAAUGAGCCGAUGUCGGAUUAGCUAGUUGGCGGGGUAAAGGCUCACCAAGGCGACGAUCCGUAGCUGGUCUGAGAGGAUGAUCAGCCACACUGGAACUGAGACACGGUCCAGACUCCUACGGGAGGCAGCAGUGGGGAAUAUUGGACAAUGGGCGCGAGCCUGAUCCAGCCAUACCGCGUGGGUGAAGAAGGCCUUCGGGUUGUAAAGCCCUUUUGUUGGGAAAGAAAAGCAGCAGGUUAAUACCCCGCUGUUCUGACGGUACCCAAAGAAUAAGCACCGGCUAACUUCGUG